UGGGGAAUUUUGGACAAUGGGCGCAAGCCUGAUCCAGCCAUGCCGCGUGCGGGAAGAAGGCCUUCGGGUUGUAAGCCGCUUUUGUCAGGGAAGAAACGCUCUGGGCUAAUACCCUGGGGUAAUGACGGUACCUGAAGAAUAAGCACCGGCUAACUACGUGCCAGCAGCCGCGGUAAUACGUAGGGUGCAAGCGUUAAUCGGAAUUACUGGGCGUAAAGCGUGCGCAGGCGGUUAUGCAAGACAGAUGUGAAAUCCCCGGGCUCAACCUGGGAACUGCAUUUGUGACUGUAUAGCUAGAGUACGGUAGAGGGGGAUGGAAUUCCGCGUGUAGCAGUGAAAUGCGUAGAUAUGCGGAGGAACACCGAUGGCGAAGGCAAUCCCCUGGACCUGUACUGACGCUCAUGCACGAAAGCGUGGGGAGCAAACAGGAUUAGAUACCCCAGUAGUCCCUGAGCGGGCUGGCAAGGCGCAU
rnacentral:rRNA from 1 species